UACGUAGGGGGCAAGCGUUGUCCGGAAUCAUUGGGCGUAAAGCGCGUGUAGGCGGCCCGAUAAGUCCGCUGUGAAAGUCCAGGGCUCAACCCUGGGAUGCCGGUGGAUACUGUCGGGCUCGAGUCCGGAAGAGGCGAGUGGAAUCCGUGGUGUAGCGGUGAAAUGCGCAGAUAUCAGGAGGAACACCAAUGGCGAAGGCAGCUCGCUGGGACGUGACUGACGCUGAGACGCGAAGCGUGGGGAGCAAACAGG
rnacentral:rRNA from 1 species